AGAGCGAACGCUGGCGGCAGGCCUAACACAUGCAAGUCGAGCGCCCGUAGCAAUACGGGAGCGGCAGACGGGAUAGUAACACGUGGGAACGCGCCCUUCGGUUCGGAAUAACUCAGGGAAACUUGAGCUAAUACCGAAUACGCCCUUACGGGGAAAGAUUUAUUGCCGAAGGAACGGCCCGCGUCCGAUUAGCUAGUUGGUGAGGUAAUGGCUCACCAAGGCUACGAUCGGUAGCUGGUCUGAGAGGAUGACCAGCAUCACUGGGACUGAGACACGGCCCAGACUCCUACGGGAGGCAGCAGUGGGGAAUAUUGGACAAUGGGCGCAAGCCUGAUCCAGCCAUGCCGCGUGGAUGAUGAAGGCCUUAGGGUGUAAAGUCCUUUUAACGGGGAAGAUAAUGACGGUACCCGUAGAAUAAGCCCGGCUAACUUCGUGCCAGCAGCCGC
rnacentral:rRNA from 1 species